rnacentral:pre_miRNA from 1 species
GUGUAUAUAGAUAUACUGCGAGUGUGUAUAUAGAUAUAUAGCGAGUGUGUAUAUCUAUAUACACACUCGCUAUAUAUCUAUAUAC